CCUAGAGUUGUAGGCUUUGCCUGCUAUCUCUUACCCAUGUCUUUUGAGUACCUUCGUUUCCUCGGCGGGUCCGCCCGCCGAUUGGACAAUUUAAACCAUUUGCAGUUGCAGUCAGCGUCUGAAAAAACUUAAUAGUUA
rnacentral:misc_RNA from 1 species